CCUUAGCUACACCCCUGUCAAAAGCAUUAUAAAAGUCACACUUACACGCCUCACCUUACUGCAUACCGAGACACAUCACCAAUUCAAGAGGGGACCCAGAUAUGAAGGAGGAGUGUGGGCCCAGAGGAAUGAAUGUGAGGGCAGCAGAUUAUGGCCGGGGCAGAUUGUAGUCUGUUGAAACAAAUGGACAAAAAAGUCUUCAUCCUCCAGUGAGGUAGGAGAGAAGGGUGUAAACUGACCGGUUAUCGGGCAAUCAUCUGGUAAAUAGGACGAUAAACCCUUUUGUUUCAGAACCAUCCAGUGUCUUGACUCUUUACGUGCAAAUGUAAGAGAUCAGUAGG